rnacentral:rRNA from 1 species
GAUGAACGCUGGCGGCGUGCCUAAUACAUGCAAGUCGAGCGAAUGGAUUAAGAGCUUGCUCUUAUGAAGUUAGCGGCGGACGGGUGAGUAACACGUGGGUAACCUGCCCAUAAGACUGGGAUAACUCCGGGAAACCGGGGCUAAUACCGGAUAACAUUUUGAACCGCAUGGUUCGAAAUUGAAAGGCGGCUUCGGCUGUCACUUAUGGAUGGACCCGCUUCGCAUUAGCUAGUUGGUGAGGUAACGGCUCACCAAGGCAACGAUGCGUAGCCGACCUGAGAGGGUGAUCGGCCACACUGGGACUGAGAAACGGCCCAGACUCCUACGGGGGGCAGCAGUAGGGAAUCUUCCGCAAUGGACGAAAGUCUGACGGAGCAACGCCGCGUGAGUGAUGAAGGCUUUCGGGUCGUAAAACUCUGUUGUUAGGGAAGAACAAGUGCUAGUUGAAUAAGCUGGCACCUUGACGGUACCUAACCAGAAAGCCACGGCUAACUACGUGCCAGCCGCCGCAGUAA